AAAAGGAGCUAGAAGACUGAAGUUUUUUUGUUCACUAUCCUUUUCCUUUUUGCUCUCCACACACCUCAGCUGGGAACCUUCAUAUAUGCAGCAUUUAUUUGGUAUUAUACUGGUAAUUAUAGUUUCCUAGGGAGUUAGAAAGGAUGUCAAGAGAAGGAACACAAUCUGACUGCAGUGACAUGAGCUUACUAUAUUCCAAAUUUCCCUGUUUCUCCCACUUAAAACAUCUUAGCACUUUUAAUAUAAACCAAACACCAUCUCUUUUGCUUUUAAUUUCAUCUUUCUACUCUCUUAAUUGUUCCUA
rnacentral:lncRNA from 1 species